UACGUAGGGGGCAAGCGUUGUCCGGAAUCAUUGGGCGUAAAGAGCGUGUAGGCGGCCAGAUAAGUCCGCUGUGAAAUCUCGAGGCUCAACUUCGAGCUGUCGGUGGAAACUGUCUGGCUAGAGUCCGGAAGAGGAGAAUGGAAUUCCUGGUGUAGCGGUGAAAUGCGCAGAUAUCAGGAAGAACACCCGUGGCGAAGGCGGUUCUCUGGGACGGUACUGACGCUGAGGCACGAAAGCGUGGGGAGCAAACAGG
rnacentral:rRNA from 1 species